CAGUCGCCGCGGGAAUACGAAGGGUGCGAGCGUUAAUCGGAAUUACUGGGCGUAAAGCGUGCGCAGGCGGUUUCGUAAGACAGAUGUGAAAUCCCCGGGCUUAACCUGGGAACUGCAUUUGUGACUGCGAGGCUAGAGUGUGUCAGAGGGGGGUGGAAUUCCACGUGUAGCAGUGAAAUGCGUAGAUAUGUGGAGGAACACCGAUGGCGAAGGCAGCCCCCUGGGAUAACACUGACGCUCAUGCACGAAAGCGUGGGGAGCAAACAGGAUUAGAUACCCCGGUAGUCCCUGUCUCUUAUAC
rnacentral:rRNA from 1 species